rnacentral:tRNA from 1 species
GUUGCCCGGUGCCGCCGCGGCGGCGGCCUCACGGGCCGCCCGCCGGCCCCGGCGACUACCUGGGUCGGCGUCCUGCGCGCUGCGGGCGGCG